rnacentral:misc_RNA from 1 species
AAAACCAUGUCCAACAUUAGUUUGGACAUUACAAAAUCAAUCAUGUCAAACAUGAAACACCAGUCUGUAUAACAAGCUUAGCCUGUAUAACAGGAGACUAUGCAUAAAAUAGCAAACUUGAUGGAAAACAGCAAGUGAAACACCAAAACUUAUGAAAAAUAUUAUCUCACCAACAUCAGUCUCCAAUUUUGUAUCAUUUAAGUCAGAAACAAGCUUAGUGAUAGAUUCCUUUGUCCCAUUCUGGAAACAGUAAAAAUAAAGUAAUUAGAGGAAACUAAAGUGAAAGCAAUGAAAGGAUACAAUAGCUAAACAACUGCAGUAUUCACCAACCAGCACAAGAUGCUAACAAAAAGAAUAGACAGAAAGCUAAAGGACCUUCACAGAACCCAGGCCAAACUAAAGUUGAGAAGAGCACAUAAAAUAAACCGGACUACAAUUUAAAUAGUAUAACAAAAAAAAUAACUAGCAGGACUUGUGAAAAGGUUAAAACAGUGUCCAGAGAAUAAAGAGUUCAUAACAAGAAAGAGUAUGGGAUAAAAAAACAUUGCCAAUUGUUGCAAUGAGACAGAUAAAAAUAGUACAGUUAAACAUUUAAAAAUAAGAAACACAACCACACAGCAAUACCAAUAUAAAGAAAAGGAACACAUCUGAAUACCCAGCACAGGAUUGAAAUUUUCCAGAACUUAUGUGAUGGUAUGGAGAUGAUUGACCAAAUAAAAAAAAUCAUUCACCAAAUCUGGCAAAUUUAUAAACACGUUACUAUGAAAGGUUACAAGAUGCCUCAGGGAAUGAGGUCAAUAACAAUUAAUGCAAAGAGAUUAAUUUACAAAGUAUAUAAAAAAAAUCUACAAUAUAGGUAAAAAAGGAACAUAUUCAAGCAGAUUUAAAAUGUGUUCUAAAUAGGUAACUGCAUCUUCUUCUUAUUUUUCCAGAUUUAAUACUAAGUAUUGUGCCAAACAAGAUGGCAAUGUCUAAAUCAAUUGCAAAGGCAUCUAUAAUGGUCUAACAAAAUUUUUGUUCAAGAUCAAGUCCAUUCAAUAAAUACAGAAAUUAAUGAGGAAACAAUUAGCUACAAAUAACAAUGAUAGUGAUA